rnacentral:misc_RNA from 1 species
UGCGGCUGGAUCCCCUCCUUUCUAAGGAUGCGCUUCGGCGCUACCUAGUGGUCAAACCCACGCACCCUUUGCAAUGCAUCGAGAGCGCUAGCUCUCGAUGCGGAGCCGCAUACAACCUGGUUUUCAGGGCUCGAGUGAGCCCGAGACGUAGCAAUACGUCACUGAUCUCUGACAAUUAAAUCGUGUGUAGUAAAGCGUCCAAGAGAAGCUGUAGAGGGGCGCGCGUGUAUACCGGGGCUCGGCUAUCGAGCUCUGGGCGCGAGCCUCAAUGCGUGCCUUAGGGGUACGGUCAAGCUACGAAGGGCGCACGGUGGAUGCCUAGGCGAUCAGAGGCGAAGAAGGACGUGGACAGCUGCGAAAAGCUCCGGGGAACCGCUAACAGGUUGUGAUCCGGAGGUGUCCGAAUGGGGAAACCCGG